rnacentral:rRNA from 1 species
AGCCUUUAGCCCAACAAGUAUUAAAGGUCCCACCUGCCCAGUGACUAUUUUAAACGGCCGCGGUAUCCUAACCGUGCAAAGGUAGCAUAAUCACUUGUCCCCUAAAUAGGGACUAGUAUGAAUGGUCAAAUGAGGACUAAACUGUCUCUUACAUUUAACCAAUAAAACUGAUCUCUCAGUUAAAAAGCUGAGAUAUUAACAUAAGACGAGAAGACCCUGUGGAGCUUCAAACCAAGCCCAACCCUAAUGGAUGUUCGGUUUUUAGUUGGGGCGACUUCGGAGUACAAAAAAACCUCCGACACAACCAUAUCAAGACCAACACGUCAACAUAUGUUCUUACUGACCCGGUAUUUAAUAAAAUAUCCGAUCAAUGAACCAAGUUACCCCAGGGAUAACAGCGCUAUCCCCUUCUAGAGUCCUUAUCGACAAGGGGGUUUACGACCUCGAUGUUGGAUCAGGACACCCAAAUAGUGCAGCCGCUAUUAAAGGUUCGUUUGUUCAACGAUUAACAGUCCU